rfam:Cavia porcellus supercont2_9 genomic scaffold, whole genome shotgun sequence.
GGGGAUUUAGCUCAGCGGCAUGAGUGCCUGCCUUGCAAGCAGGCAGUAGUGAGUUCGAUCACUGGUACCCA